rnacentral:rRNA from 1 species
ACGGCUCAGUAACACGUAGUCAACAUGCCCAGGGGACGUGGAUAACCUCGGGAAACUGAGGCUAAACCGCGACAGGCCAAGAUUUCUGGAAUGGAUCAUGGCUUAAAUCUAUAUGGCCCCUGGAUUGGACUGCGGCCGAUCAGGCUGUUGGUGAGGUAAUGGCCCACCAAACCUGUAACCGGUACGGGCUCUGAGAGGAGGAGCCCGGAGAUGGGCACUGAGACAAGGGCCCAGGUCCUACGGGGCGCAGCAGUCGCGAAACCUUUGCAAUACACGAAAGUGUGACAGGGUCAUCCCGAGUGCCGACCGCUGAGGUUGGCUUUUACCCAGUCUAGAAAGCUGGGGGAAUAAGGAGAGGGCAAGUCUGGUGUCAGCCGCCGCGGUAAUACCAGCUCUCCGAGUGGUGUGGACGUUUAUUGGGCCUAAAGCAUCCGUAGCUGGCUGAUCAAGUCCCCUGUUAAACCCACCGAUUUAAUCGUUGGCUUGCGGGGGAUACUGCUCGGCUAGGGGACGAGAGAGGCAGACGGUAUUCCCGGGGUAGGGGUGAAAUCCUAUAAUCCCGAGAAGACCACCAGUGGCGAAGGCUGUCUGCUAGAACGCGCCCGACGGUGAGGGAUGAAAGCUGGGGGAGCGAACCGGAUUAGAUACCCGGGUAGUCCCAGCUGUAAACGAUGCAGGCUAGGUGUUUGGACGGCCACGCGCCGUUCUAGUGCCGCAGGGAAGCUGUUAAGCCUGCCGCCUGGGGAGUACGAUCGCAAGAUUGAAACUUAAAGGAAUUGGCGGGGGAG